rnacentral:rRNA from 1 species
UUCCGGUUGAUCCUGCCAGAGGUCACUGCUAUUGGGAUUCGACUAAGCCAUGCGAGUCGUGAGGGUUCGGCCCUCGGCAGACGGCUCAGUAACACGUAGAUAAUUUGCCCUUAGGUGGAGGAUACCCUCGGGAAACUGAGAAUAAUACUCCAUAGAUCUAGACUGCUGGAAUGCUUUUAGAUUGAAAGAUUUAUCGCCUAAGGAUAAGUCUGCGGACUAUCAGGUUGUAGUCAGGGUAACUA